UUGCGUGCACGCCCACUGGCGGAGUCUCCUUCUGUCCACCUCCACAUUCCAUCGCUGUAUUUUGAUUGAACAUCUGUGCUGUCUCCGUGUAAUGCCCUGUCAUUAGUUCAGCACACACGCACGCACAAGCACAGCCGCGAAACAAAACGAUCCACGCAAGAGCGCAUAACACAAAAACGCGAGAGAGAAGGAAAGGCACGCCUCACUGCCUCGCUCUCCCUCUCCUCCACGUCCCUUUUAUGGUAAUCCGACUUGCGUUCGUUUCUCUCUCAUACACAUUAAAGCCCCGUUGUGUAUGACGUCUUGUUUGGAUCAGUACGAAAGAGCAACGCACGCUUUUGUUUGGUGUGUGUGUGUGUAUGCGUGUGUUCUUUUGUUUUUACAUCCCCCCUCUCCCUCUCCCUCCCUCCUCUUCAGACACAUACAUACACAUAUACGGCCCCUCCCGCGGCCCAUUCCUCUCUCGUCCUCGGCCGCUCUUGCCCGUCUCUCUCCCUCUCUGUGUAUCUCUUAGGUUUGCCUUUUUCUUCUCUCUGAGUGUUUGUGCGUCGCGGUAGAAGCUCCCCGGUUGAUAGCGGCCUUCUGCUCCCCUCUCCCUCUCCUUUUCGCUCUGAACUGUUACCGGGAGCGCGGAAGCUCACACACGCACACACACACACGCAAGCGACGAUAUUUUUCCUUCUCCCCUCCAUCCAAAACACAGCACCGUGGAGGAAAAUUGAGUUGGCGUGUUCUACUCACUGAACUGCGCGCUGGAAAGUCUCACUGCAGCGGGUCUCGGCACAAUGAACGACAUCCGGUUUCCGGGCUGGAUCAAGAGCAGCCCGACUCUCGUGAUGGCAUCGGUGCUUGCGCAGCUCCUGACGGAUGAGUGCGCCGAGGCAACCUCAUCUGCAACAGCUGGUGCGCCGCGGCCUCCGUCCGAGGCGUGCGUGCCUGAUGGCAGGGAGCGGUGGCCCCGCCACAACUUUGGCGAGGACAUCAGUAGCAGCAGCAGUGACGGCGGCGGAGGGGUUGAUCUAUCCGAUUCGGAUGCCAGCGAAUGUGAGGUCUGUUAUGAUCCUGACCGUGAUGCAAUGCACGGCGGUGGUGGGGUAGACACAGGUUACCUACGCAUGGUGGAUCGGUUGCUGGAGCUCAACUCGAAGGAGCUUGACUCUCUCCCGCCCGCGGCGGCCACCGCUGCCGCGACAACGUAUUUGCCCCCGAAGGCCGUCACUGCUCCUGCGACCGCCAUGCAAACGGCUAUCGCGGGGUCCUGGCCCCGUGGCAGCGGCGUCCUCUUUACUAGGCAGAACGGCGGGGUCAGCAUGAGCAACCUCGGUGCCAGCCCUGAUAUUCUCCGCAAUCCACGAGUGCGAACACUUCUGCGGCUCUCGCGGCUCAACGAUGUUCUCACGCGCGCUGAGGCGGCGCAGCCACUCAUCUCGCGGCGUACCGCGGCUGCUAUGGUGUCCUUCUUCGCCUUUGCCGUGUCGUGCCGAUACAGCGGGCUCCCCGUGGAUCGCACAAAAGGGUUCUUCACAGAGUGCAGUGCCCUCUACACAACCCUGCUUUCGAAGCUGCGCUCGCUCCGCUUCGGCGGCGGUGUCAGUCUCGAGGACUUCACCGCUUCGCUCGUGGCAUGUGGACUGAAGUUGCGCUGUGAUGAGGAUGUCGAAGGGGACGAGAAGGACGGGCACGGCGGCAUGAACGAGGCUGGCGUGACCGGCGCGGGGACAGCGGGCAUCCCGUGCAGCGGCCGCAGCAACAGCAGCAGCGCUGCAGCGUCUGGCGCAGCGCCAAUGGGGAGCUGCGGCGGUGCCGGUGUCAGAACGCCGACGCAGCCGUCUUUUGGACGUGACAAGAACUAUGGCCUUGUCGGUUUUGGCCACCGCGCCCUCGACGCCAUCUUCGUGCGCUGUAUCCCGAACAACAUCGACGAAUGCGUGCACGAUCCUGUCGCGCUCGGUGUGUUACGCGGCAUCUCACUCACGCACUCGCAGCAGCUCUUCUACCUAGGCCCGGAGCUCGUGAACCACUUGCACGACCUCACCGAUGCCUUCGCCACAUCUAGUCACCGGCGCGAGCUGUCGUACAAGCGCGUCCUCUCCGUCUUGCUUGAGGCCAUCAGCUGCUCUCGCGUCAUCGACUACGAGCGCACGAACAACUGGAUCACGGCUGUUAUUCAGGAAAGAUACGUCGUGCGCGGCUUGUUCCAGCGAGAGGAGCUGCACGCCCACGUUGUGACCGCCACUCUGACGAUGCUUAUCCGGCAGUAUCAGGAGAUGGCGAAGGAGUGCGCAUCCAAAGUGGUCGACCUCGGCUCGAUGCCGGACUUCACAGAGGGCGAUCAGCUUAUUGAGCUUGUCUGGAAGGCCCUGCAAGACACCAUCGGGUCCUGGGAGGACGCCGUAACCACCGCUGAGAAGCACCCUCUGACGUUGUUUCGGCACAACAUUGACAUGGUGGUGCAGCAUCUACUCCGGACUGAGGUGGAGCGGCUGCGGUGCUACUACAUCAUUACGAGCGCCACGGCCGCCUACCACCAGUCGCUCGUCGGGAUGUCAGCGGGAACGCGCACGACCAGAAACCAAAGUGGCUGCCCUCCCGCAGUGCCACAACUCGCGCCGGGACGGGAGGAACAGCGGGGGGCGAGUCAACGUGGGCGAGACACCCUUCGCGGACAGGAGGGUAACACACGGCGCGACAGCGAUGCGCCGGCGGCGGCCCCCUAUGUUCCAUCCGCGGAAGAGGAGUCACUGCGCAUUUUGAUUUGCAGCAACAUCAUCAAGCUCCUCCUGCUCCCCACUAGCAUCAUGAACGCGCUUCCGAGGACGGAGGAAGCGAAGCAGCUGCGUGCGUCACUCACAGAGGCGGCGGCGCGCGUGCUGAGCGUCGUGACGGCAAAGGAGUUCAAGAGCCGCGACGACACCUCUGUAAUGAAAGCGGCGAGCGGCCGCGCCACCACCUCCGCAGCACCGCGCUCCAUCAGUCCGAUUAGCGCGGCGGCAGCGAUGCCGAGGAUACGGCGCACCGACGCUGCCGCUGCCGGCACCGAUCUGUUUGUUAUAUCGCAGAGGCGAGCACACUUUUCCAACAACUUCUACCGCUGCAUCGAGGAGCUCAUACACGAGCUUAUCCACACAAUUCUCCAGCAAAGCGUGCCGGACGACGCGACAGCCGUCGCCAACCGAAGCUUUCUCGGGGGCGUGCCAGAUGUGCAUCCGCCGACGCCGCCCACCUCGGAUGCGAGCAGCGACGCGAUCUUGCGUGGCAUGGUGGCGGCUGUGUGCAUUCAAUACAUGUGCUCCACAAACCAACAUCUUCGCUCGUUUGCCAUUUCAGAGGUGAUGGACGCCGUCGUGCGCCUCUCUGCUCGCUGUGGCGCUGAGGAAGCGGCGACGGCCACGCACGGGUCUCUGGGACGUAAGGGCAGCAGCCACACAGCGCGCACCAGCGGCAACAACAGCAAUGGGAGUCCUGCAGCAGCUCCACAGGGAACCGUCGUCGGUGCCGCUGCCGCAGACCCGGAAGAGGAGCGGAAGCAUGCAACGCACCUUCGCGCUCGCCAGCUGGCGCUGUGUUUCGACGCCCUGUCCGCGAUCCUGGUGCCGACUGUCGUUGUGGAAGGCUACCACCACGUGGCGGAGGAGCAGGAGGAGAGAGCCGGCCUCGCGCGGAGCUGCACAACGACGAGCGCACGUGGUGACUCCAAGCGCGAGGAACUGUCGCGCUACGGGCAGCUGUUGUGCGACACCUACGUGGACUCACUGCGCGAGCAUCUCUGGAGCCUCGGGGAGGGGAGCGUGAGUCGCCACAAGCUGCUCACGCCGGUGAUGACUGUGGCUGUCAAGGCGUUUGUGAAUUUGGUGCUUCGGGUGCAUGAGCGGCUGCGCGGGAUGUCGAGCAUGGCGCUCGCGCUGGUGCAGGAAGCGGAGGCGGCGAUGGAGGGACCAGACAAGGGGACUCGGCGGUCUGCGGCGGUAAUCGCGAGGGAUCGCGCGCGACUGCUGCACGCCUUCAACGCGGAGCGCAUGAGCGUUGUGCUGCUCCUGCGUGGUGUCAUCCAGAACAUGCUCAGCGUGGCGUGGCCGUCGUCAGGGGUGUUGUACCAGGACCCGGCAUGCGGCUGGGAGAGGCCCCUGAACAAGACGACGUCCGCUGUGAUGGCGCCGCUAGCGCUGGCGGUUCUGUCGCCGUUCUUUCGGCCCUUAACGAUGCUGCUCCACCUCUCCACUCUGUUUCCGGUCCGAUCACUAAAGCAGCUCUGCACGCACUAUCAAUACGCGCGCUACCUCACCCUCGAGGACCCCAGCACGAGCGAUCAAUACAUGUUUUAUUACUACCGCCGCCUAUCGCGCGCGCUCGUGGCGGCCCAGGCGGACGACAGCGGCGGCUCGGGAGCUGGCCCUGCGGAGCAGGUAGAGCUUGAGUGCUGGGCGCUGUUUCGCUCAUGUUGGAUGAUGUUCUCCUACUACAAGUAUACUGCAGAGGCCCUUAUGGCGGUGAGGGCUGGGGGCAUGGCGCCUAUGGAGAGCGCGAACCCAGCUGCAGCCGCGGCCGCGCUUGCCCGCGCGCCGAUCUUGUCGACGAAGCAGUGCAAGCUACUGCGCCUCAUCGCCGCUUCGGCGGCACCACUCCUGCGCAUGUGCUCGUCCGACGUUCAGCAGGCCAUGGCGGACAUCGCCGUGCUCCUGCGCUACACACUGGCCGGCGCGCUUCACUGCCCCAUGGUGGUCGCUGACGUCACCGCAAGGAGCGGUAUCGUGCACGCGUCACUGUACAAGUCGCUGAAGCGGCUCUGCGGCGGCAGGAAGGAGUGCUGGAAGCGGCUGAGCAUGGGGGAGUUAAUGCUUCUUCAGUGCGUGGCGGAGCUAGAGAUCCUGCGAGCGGCGGCGGGGUCAGUGGCGCAGCUGACGCUCUACCGUCACUUUGAGGUGCGUGAGUUUGUCGCGAGCGCUGCAAUACCGGAAGCGCUAGGCCACAUCCUGAGCACAGCGUGCGACCACUACAUCGAAGCGGUGCGCAGCAUGCUGCCGGGUGUCGCCUUCCAGGUCACUCGUACUGACCUGAUGCAGCUCGUCUUUCUGGUGGGCUUCGCGAUUGGGUCGGUACGCGAGUCGGCGAGCAAGCUGGUGCUGUGCGUGGUGAGGUCGUUUCCCACCUACGCCGCCUAUGCCAGCGCGUUGCCGCUCCUGUGGUGCAUGCUGGACCUCCUCGAAGCCGGCACAGCCGGGCAGAUCGAGUCGCUCUGCGAGCAUGUUCGUUUUUCGACUGUCCCUGCGGUGGCCGCCGACCCGCACAGCGUGGAGCGCCAGCAGCACGUACUGUUCGUCGCGGAUGUCGCGGAGCGGUGGGCUGCCAUACUGCAGGACAAGGCACCGAUAGCCCUCUUUGAAACAGCCAUCAAGUUCAUGGUCAUCCAGCAGCAAGAGUGCGGGGAGCAGGCAACGACGCAGGCUGGCAGGCACCACGCUGGAUCCCGACUUGCCGUCCUGGCUUCCCUGUACCGGGUUGAGGAGACACCACCCAAUUUGGACGACAGUGCCAUCACUGUCAUGCGUGGGGCUGGGGCGGCUGGUCAUGUCGUGAAAACUGAAUACGCGCAGACGCUGCUGCUGCAUGGCCGCGCGCAGGGUGCGAUGCAAGCUUCCAGCUGGUACGCGUCCGCUGGGCAAAUGCAAAGCACCGUCGUGGCGCAGCUGUGGGCAGCCACGCGCCUCUGCCGACGUGCCUUGGCGUCGGCGGUGGCGCAGCGGCUCGAGUCAAAUCUCCUGCGGCCUGCCCGGGCCCUUUUCGUGGAGACUGGCUACUCCGUGGGCACGGUGCUGGCGCCUCGCGCUUCCACCGUCGCCGACGAGGAUGCUGCGGCGCAAGAGAUGGGCGUGACGCGGGUGCCGCUCGGCGCCCCAGCCCGCGCGGAGACGGCCGCGAGCUUCGCAGCCGCCGUGGCGCUGCUCGUCACGGGCAGCGGCACCCCCAUCGGGCGGCGGCAGCUGUUGCAGUACCUGGUGCAAGGCGCCGUGCAAACGUUCCGCUCCGAUGUGCUGUACGAAGCCAUCCUGUGCUGGAAGUGGCUGCUGAGCCAGAACCGUGAGGCUUACCUGCUGCCGAUGCUGCAGGAGCUGGACACGGCUUUCGUAUGGACGGCGGCCAAUCGGCUAGGGCUGUUUGACGGCUACUGCUCCUCCAAGAACCGGCAGGUGCAGACAGGCGACGUGCCGAUCCCCCACAACACCGUCUCUGCGAGGGGGCAGAGAGGAGCCCGUGUGCCCGAGGAAGCUGCUGUGUACGUGGCUGACAACGUUGACAGCGCCUCCCCGCACAAGCUGCUCCUCUCCUUUCUCGCGGAUAUGUACGUGGAGGAGGGCAGCCCGCUGUGCCUCAGCCCCGAGGUGCUUCGCCAACUGUACCUUGUCGCGGCGCACAUUAUGCAGUUCGCCGCGGUGCUGUCUCUGCGAGACGACAUGUUUGGCGAGACGAUGCGCUGCUUUCUCGUGGUGGGCAGCAUCGCGCAGCUGCUUAGGGAGGCCAACGUGCGCCAGCUGCGCGCUGGCCUCUUGACGUUAGUGCCCUUUCCCGCAAUUGGUGCGCUGCGCCAGCGGUGGUACAAGGCGCUGCUGCGGUGGUUCACCAAGACACCGCCGAGUUGGUACUACGCCAAGGAUCCGGUGCUGGCCAGAGAGGAGGCGAAGGUGGUGAGCUCGCUGUCGCAGCUGAUAAAGGAGGAGGCUGACCUGCUCACCCGCACAACUCUCGGUUUCCUCGACUUCAGCAGUGGUGUUCAACGCGAGCGGGACAUGCCACAUGUACAUCACUGGGAGUCGCUAAGCGUCGUGCGCGAGGCCGUGGCUGCGGUGCGGCAGGCGACCGACGGUGGCGAGGCAGGCUUGCCGAAGCUGAUCGUGCGAGAGAAACUGAGGCUUCAGGGGUUGCUGCAUCUGCUGCGCGUCCUGGUGGAGCACGAGGUGCUGCGGCUAAGUGUCUGGCGCACGCCGCGCCGCACGCUCAAGAUACCCAACACGACGCCUUCCGUUGGCUGGGGAAAGCUAAUCGAGUGCGCCGAUCACCACAACCCGGAGGUUGUUGUCGCCAUGGUCUACCGCUUCUCGAGCAUCCCAGCCGUGCGGUUGGCGGCGUCGCAGCGUGUCGUGGCACAUCCGGAGCGGUACUCGAACGUUGCGGAGGCGGUGGACCUCUACCUCACGGAGGACGUGCUGCGCGCUGGUGCACCGCGGCUGUUUCUCUUCUGCUCCUGCACCAUCAUCCAAGCCCUCCGCCUGCUUGACCCACGCUACGCCGCGUACAAGACCGUCAAUAGCUACGCCAUCCGCAGCCUGCUCUCACAGCGCAGCGAGAAGCUCAUCUUCUACCUGCCGCAGCUGCUGCAGCUCUUAGCGACGGACGAGAGCGGCAGCAUCGAGGCCUUCCUCGUGCGCACGAGUGCAAGGAGCACCAUGUUCGCGCACCAGUUGCUCUGGAGUCUGCAAACCGAGAGCGAGGGCAGCGGUGCCCUAGCGAAAAAGUGCCAGCAGGUGGAGAGGCGCAUCAAGGCAGCAUUCACGCCGAAUGAAGAGGCCUUCUACAGGUCCGAGUUCGCUUUUGUGGACCUCAUGACAUCGCUAUCGGGGGAGAUCAUGAAGUUCGACAAGCCCGAGCGCAAGGCGCAACUGCGGCUGAGGUUGAAGGACGACGUCUUCCAUGCCCUGCCCAAGUUGCGGCACCUUUACCUCCCCACGGAUCCGAACUACCGGAUCACCGACGUCAUCCCGCACACGGCUGGGGCCAUGCAGAGCGCUGCCAAGUGCCCGAUCCUGGUGCAGUUCACGUGCGUCCCGCGUACAGCGGAGGACGCGCUGACGCCAGACGACGUCGACUCGGCGGCUGCCGACGAGCACGGGCACGGUGCGGGGAACAGCCACAGCGACCCUGUGUCGCGCCCGGUCGUGAAGGCGUGCAUUUUUAAGAUGGGUGACGACUGCCGACAGGACCAGAUCUCGCUGCAGCUCAUCGGCCUCAUACAGCGCAUCCUGAACUCCGUUGGCGUGCCGUCCUUUCUCUACCCAUACCGCGUCAUCACCACCGGGCAGAGCAGCGGCAUCAUCGAAUGUGUGCCUCGGUCAAGAAGUCGCAAUGAGAUCGGCAAGCUCGUCGAGUCGAACGUCGCGGAGUUUUUCGUGCAGACAUUUGGCCAUCCCGAGUCCGCUGGCUUCCGCCGCGCUCGCGAAAACUUCGUGAGGAGCACGGCCGCGUACUCGGUCGUCUCCUUCAUCCUCAACAUCAAGGACCGCCACAACGGCAACAUCAUGAUCGACGCCGACGGCAACCUCGUCCACAUCGAUUUCGGCUUCCUGUUCGACACCUCGCCGGGCGGCGACAUUAACUUCGAGUCUUCGCCGUUCAAGCUGACGACGGAGAUGGUGCAGCUCAUCGGCAUGGACGUCAGUGGCGAAUCGACGCUGCAGAGCAAGACCCUUGCCCGCGCUCUUGUGGACGAGGAAAACUACAUCUACUUCAAGACCCUCGUGAACCGCUGCUACCUCGCCGUGCGGCAGUAUGCGCGUGAGAUAUGCGUGAUGGUGGAGCUCAUGCUUCGCAGCGGAUUGCCGUGUUUUAAGCCGAAGAAGACAAUCGCCGACCUCGCGCAGCGGCUGGCCGUCGACAAGAACGAAAUUGAGGCUGCUGACUAUAUGCGUCGCCUCAUCCACGAGUCGCGGCAGAACUUCACAACCGUCCUCUACGACUACUACCAAAAGGUUGCCGAGGGUAUUGAAAUGUGAGGGUGUCGCAGCUGUGCACUCGUGCUUGUGUGCCACGCCUUCGCUCCACAACCCUCUUAACGCAGCGUAGCGCUCGUGGUGAUGCCGCUUUCUUCGCCCCCGCCCGUCCCCCUUCACCAUUUUUUUUUGUGUUACACCCCGUGGCUGCGUUCAAGGAAGACGUCGGCGACCGCACCGUCGCAUGUCAAGGGGGAGCGCCCGCUCAAUUUUUCUUCUUCGCCGCGUGACCGUUUCUUUGCCAUGCGACACGACUUCAGCUUCCCUCUAGCCAGCCUGUCACGAGCCCCAUCCUCGUAGUGUGAAGCGGCAGCCGACACGCGCGUUACGGCAAUGCGCCGACUCCGCCACCUCAGCGCGGCCCCCUGCCUCUAACGCUGGCCGCCCACCCGCCUCGCAGGUCGCCUCACAGCCGCCUCCACCGUGCUGGCCGCCCCCCUGGCGCAUCCCCUCCUCGGGGUGGCUCCGGCUCCCUUCACCAGCAAGGGCAGUGAGGGCCGGGCGAGACACACGCUCAAACCACGCCGACACUCUGCCUAAUGCACCGAUGGCGCAAACAUAUUCACUGUCGCAGGUCGCUCCGACGCAACGAGACCCAGGAGCUGACCGCUAACGUCCGCAGCGAUGCAUCGCUCUGACCUGCUCCCCCCCCCCUCGUCGUAGGUGCCUUACCAUUUCACCACCGGAAGCGGUUCAGCAUGCGGCAGGGAUGAGGGGGCUUGCUUAGCUUCCCCACACACAGAGUGGGGGUACGGGACGCUGGGAUACCACGCGCUGAGGGGUGUGUCCCGCCCCCUCCACCCCCCCCCCGCCCGUCAUGUGGGUAUAUUCAUCUGGUGUCGAAGCCAAGAACCUGCAACCUGCUCCCUGCUGGUGGUUUCGGCGAAGGGGUCUAUGCUCGCGCUCUAUCGCAGAGAAACGCGGUCAUAAUCAUGUCCUGUACUAACUCACUGCGCAUCGUGUCGGGGAUCCACCAACAG
rnacentral:misc_RNA from 1 species